AUUGCCUGCCCAGUGACUGUAGUUAAACGGCCGCGGUAUCCUGACCGUGCAAAGGUAGCAUAAUCACUUGUUCCUUAAUUAGGGACUUGUAUGAACGGCUAAACGAGGGUCCAACUGUCUCUUAUUUUCGAUCAGUGAAAUUGACCUUCCAGUGAAGAGGCUGGAAUCCUAAAAUAAGACGAGAAGACCCUAUGGAGCUUAAAUUAAUAAACUUAUAUGAAUAUCUUCCAUAAACCUAAUGGAAUAAAAACAGAAGUAAUAAGCUUAAAAUUUUGGUUGGGGUGACCUCGGAGAACAGAAAAUCCUCCGAACGAUUAUAACAUAGACCAACAAGUCAAAGUAAACCAAUUUUCCAAUUGACCCAAAAAUUUGAUCAACGGACCAAGUUACCCUAGGGAUAACAGCGCAAUCCUAUUUAAGAGUCCAUAUCGACAAUAGGGUUUACGACCUCGAUGUUGGAUCAGGACAUCCCAAUGGUGCAGAAGCUAUUAAUGGUUCGUUUG
rnacentral:rRNA from 1 species